rnacentral:rRNA from 1 species
AGUGAACGCUGGCGGUAGGCCUAACACAUGCAAGUCGAGCGGCAGCACAGUAAGAGCUUGCUCUUACGGGUGGCGAGUGGCGGACGGGUGAGGAAUACAUCGGAAUCUACUUUUUCGUGGGGGAUAACGUAGGGAAACUUACGCUAAUACCGCAUACGACCUACGGGUGAAAGCAGGGGAUCUUCGGACCUUGCGCGAUUGAAUGAGCCGAUGUCGGAUUAGCUAGUUGGCGGGGUAAAGGCCCACCAAGGCGACGAUCCGUAGCUAGUCUGAGAGGAUGAUCAGCCACACUGGAACUGAGACACGGUCCAGACUCCUACGGGAGGCAGCAGUGGGGAAUAUUGGACAAUGGGCGCAAGCCUGAUCCAGCCAUACCGCGUGGGUGAAGAAGGCCUUCGGGUUGUAAAGCCCUUUUGUUGGGAAAGAAAAGCAGCAGGUUAAUACCCCGCUGUUCUGACGGUACCCAAAGAAUAAGCACCGGCUAACUUCGUG